rnacentral:rRNA from 1 species
GGUCUCGUUAACCGAGAUCUCUCAAACGGAAUGAGUACAACGUGAAUCCUUUAACGAGGAUCGACUGGAGGGCAAGCCUGGUGCCAGCAGCCGCGGUAAUUCCAGCUCCAGUAGCGUAUAUUAAAGCUGUUGCGGUUAAAAAGCUCGUAGUUGGAUAUCAGUGCGUGUCCGGUCCGGUAUGCCCGGCGGCGUCGCUCGCGCGUCGCUGCUGGGCUCCCAAAUAUCGGCUGGCCGCAUUCAAUGGUGCCGGAUCCGUCGRCGGGCCGUUCUUCGGAGGGGCCUGCUGGCGACCGGCGACGUUACCUUGAACAAAUUAGAGUGCUCAAAGCAGGCUCUGAAUGCCUGUAUACAUAUUCAUGGAAUUGGAGAAUACGUCCCUGGCUCGAUUUGGUUGGUUUUGAGAGUCGAAGGGAAAUGAUUAAUAGGGACUGACGGAGGCAUUCGUAUUGCGACGCGAGGGGUGAAAUCCUGUGACCGUCGCACGACGAACUACUGCGAAAGCAUUUGCCGAGAAUGUUUUCAUUAGUCAAGAACGAAAGUUAGAGGUUCGAAGGCGAUCAGAUACCGCCCUAGUUCUAACCGUAAACGAUGUCGACCAGCAAUCCGCAACGGUCACUACACGGACUGUGCGGGCAGCUUCCCCGGGGAAACCAGAGUGUAUGGACUCCGGGGGAAGUAUGGUUGCAAAGCUGAAACUUAAAGGAAUUGACGGAAGGGCACCACCAGGAGUGGAGCUUGCGGCUUAAUUUGACUCAACACGGGACAACUCACCAGGCCCGGACACCGUAAGGAUUGACAGACUGAUAGCUCUCUCUUGAUUCAGUGGGUGGUGGUGCAUGGCCGUUCUUAGUUGGUGGAGUGAUUUGUCUGGUUUAUUCCGAUAACGAACGAGACUCUGGCC